rnacentral:rRNA from 1 species
AACGAACGCUGGCGGCAUGCCUAACACAUGCAAGUCGAACGAGAUCUUCGGGUCUAGUGGCGCACGGGUGCGUAACGCGUGGGAAUCUGCCCUUUGGUUCGGAAUAACAGUUGGAAACGACUGCUAAUACCGGAUGAUGACGAAGGUCCAAAGAUUUAUCGCCAGAGGAUGAGCCCGCGUAGGAUUAGGUAGUUGGUGGGGUAAAGGCCUACCAAGUCGACGAUCCUUAGCUGGUCUGAGAGGAUGAUCAGCCACACUGGGACUGAGACACGGCCCAGACUCCUACGGGAGGCAGCAGUGGGGAAUAUUGGACAAUGGGGGAAACCCUGAUCCAGCAAUGCCGCGUGAGUGAUGAAGGCCUUAGGGUUGUAAAGCUCUUUUACCCGGGAUGAUAAUGACAGUACCGGGAGAAUAAGCUCCGGCUAACUCCGUGCCAGCCGCCGCGGUAA